AUUGAACGCUGGCGGCAUGCCUUACACAUGCAAGUCGAACGGCAGCACGGGUGCUUUCACCUGGUGUCGAGUGGCGAACGGGUGAGUAAUACAUCGGAACAUGUCCUGUAGUGGUGGAUAGCCCGGCGAAAGCCGGAUUAAUACCGCAUACGAUCCUCGGAUGAAAGCGGGGGACCUUCGGUCCUCGCGCUAUAGGGUUGGCCGAUGGCUGAUUCGCUAGUUGGUGGGGUAAAGGCCUACCAAGGCGACGAUCAGUAGCUGGUCUGAGAGGACGACCAGCCACACUGGGACUGAGACACGGCCCGGACGACUACGGGAGGCAGCAGUGGGGAAUUUUGGACAAUAGGCGAAAGCAUGAUCCAGCAAUGCCGCGUGUGUGAAGAAGGCCUUCGGGUUGUAAAGCACGUUUGUCCGGAAAGAAAUCCUUGAGUCUAAUACAGUCGGGGGAUGACGGUACCGGAAGAAUAAGCACCGGCUAACUACGUG
rnacentral:rRNA from 1 species